rnacentral:pre_miRNA from 1 species
UUCGGAUGGUCCGUGGUACGGUGUCCUGUGUUGUGUGAGAGGUCUCCGUACACCGGACCAUCGAA